GGCCCUCAUUACUUUCUUUUGUGCUCCUCUUUUGUCAAAAUAGUGGGAAGUUAAGGACAACUUGUAUAUAGCACAUUUCCUGAAGGAGAGAGUGCUGAAGACAUGACCACAUUCCCACCAUACAUUUAAAACCCUAUGACACCAUUUUAAACAGUCAUAGCUUCCCCCAAAGAAUUCUGGGAGAUGUAGUUGUUAAGAGUUCUGAGAGUUGCUAGGAGACCCCAUUCCGCUCACCAAGUAACAGUUUGCAGUCAAUCCUUCUUCACAGGGAGUUUUGGUAAUUGUAGCUCUGUUAAGGGGCGGGAAUGAGGGUCUACUAACAACUCUCAGCAUGUUUAACAAACUACAGCUCCCAGAAUUCUUUGGGGGAAGCCAUGACUUUCUAAAGAGGCAUCAUACCGCUUAAAAUGUAUAGUGUGGCUCUGGGCUGACUUUGUAACCAGGCUCCACUGAAAAUACACACACACUUUAUAUAGAGUCAUUUUCAUAGAUAUCGUGGUGUUUGUUAAUUAUAGUGAUUUUUUACUGGGGACAUAUGAGGCAGCAGAGGGUUUAAGUCAUUUUCCCCCCCUUCAUUUUUGCAAACAGCUUUGCCGCCGCCACUUAGAAACAGAAGGAGCUGCCUUGUGCCAGUUCAGGUCAUCUGGCUCACUAUCGUCACCACUGAUCAGCAACAGAUCCCAGGGUUUCAGGCAAGAGUCUUUUCCAGCCCAAGCUGGAGAUGCUGGGGUUUGAGGCUAGGACCUUUUGCAUGCAAAGCAGUUGAACUACAGCAUUUCCCCCAAACAGCCUCAAGUGGAGAAAAUCCUCCAGUGAGUAGCCCAUCCUGUUCUUUAACUAUAAAAUUUCCCAUUUGGAACAAUAAAGGUAAAGGGACCCCUGACCAUGAGGUCCAGUCGCGGACAACUCUGGGUUUGCGGCGCUCAUCUCGCUUUAUUGGCUGAGGGAGCCGGCGUACAGCUUCCAGGUCAUGUGGCCAGCAUGACUAAGCAGCUUCUGGCCAACCAGAGCAGCGCACAGAAACACUGUUUACCUUCCCACCAGAGCGGUACCUAUUUAUCUACUUGCACUUUGAUGUGCUUUCGAACUGCUAGGGUGGCAGGAGCAGGGACCGAGCAACGGGAGCUCACCCCAUCGCGAGGAUUCGAAUCGCCAUCCUUCUGAUCGGCAAGCCCUAGGCUCUGUAGUUUAACUCACAGCACCACCCGCGUCCCUAUUUGGAACACUACUACCCCAUAAUUUAGAAUUGUUCCCAGAAGAAUUGUAGGGGGCAGGAAUCUGGCUGCUGCCACUGCCCGAUUUUGAUUUUUUAAAAAAUCAGAUCAAUGGAGAAAUGGAAUGGAACAGAAUUGUGGGUAAAAACAUGCCAAAGUGAUACAGACCGGCAAUAGAUUUGGCCUUCAGGCAUUCAGUCACAUCCACAUCAUAUGUUUAAAGCACUCUUAUACCACUUUAUGAGUCACGGUUACCCCCUCCCAAUAGAAUCUUGGAAGUUGUAGUUUGUGAAGGAUCUCAGCACCCUUAACAACCUACAGUUCCCAGGAUCCUUUGAGGGGAGCCAUGGCUCUUAAAGUGGUACAGGAGUGCUUUGAAUGUGUGGUGUGGAGUGACCUCAAACCUACUGUGGCUUGCAUUUCCUCCUUGCGUGCUUCUCACGCAUCAUGCAGAGGAGGAACUAAUUUAUCUCUCUUGUGGUAAAGGCAAGGCCUUUAUAUACCCCUGGAUCAGACUUGCUGUAGGGAGCCUUGGCUGGCUGGCAUUGUAUGUUACAGGGUCUACCCUGGAAGCAAGCUCAUUCUCUAGCAUUUCAGGUGGCAUUUAGAAUAUUGGUAGAAACCAUAUUCAUAAAUUCAUGAAUUAGUUAGGCUGGAAUAUUUAUUUUAAAAACUGACACCCUUUGCUUCCCUGCGUAGCUCUGAGCUACACCUGAGGCAAGAUCUAACUGAGUCCCCAAUUCAAACUUUCUCUCGCUAGCAUGGCAGCUGUUGAAAAUGGCUUCGACACGGUCAGGACUCCAUGUGGCUACAAGAAUGUUUGAAUUCUCUUUCCCACAUAGGGAGAAGCUGCAUUGGCACGGACACCUUCCCACACAAUCUGGCAGAUCCAUGGGGGAAGGAGAUUCAAAUGUUCUCUUCUCACAGCUACACGGAGCCCAACGACAUGGAAGUUAUUUUCAGAACAGCUUCACUGCUGAGAAAAUAUUCAAACAGGCCCUGACAAUGACUAAAGUAAAACUAAAAAGUUUGGCUGGUGCCUUUGUUAUACGUAGAUCAUCUUCCUUAAAUAUGAUUUUUUAAAAAUCCUACUGUACUAUCUGAGAAUUCUGAUGUGCUGCUCAUUUUUUGAAGCAUUUUUACCCUAGCCAAAAAAUGUUCUCAUACUGUCAGGAUGCUGUCAUUGGCUCCCAGCUGGUUGCCAGGAAAGACAAGGAAAAGUUUCUUACAGUCCUUUUUUAUUUCAAUCUUUACAGAGAGAGGGUGUAGAAUCCUGCCUCUUGGAUAAUGGCAUUGUCCCGAGUUAAUCUCCACCUCCCGUCUCUCCCACUUCCUCAUUUGUCAUUCUCAUAAUCUCCUGUACGGGUGGUGCUAUGUGCCCUCUGUUUUUGAGCUCUUUGCUUUCCUACUUUCAAGGCUCGCCAGGUUCUUUGAGAUGGAGGGUCUGGAAUGCUUUCUAAUGACAACAUGUCAGCCGGGUGUUGUUCUGGGUUUCCCAUAGUUUCCCAACUUUCCCCCUCAUCUGCCUCUGAGCUGCCACCUCCCCCAACCCCCUCUUGUAAAUCUACACUGUCUUCCUGCUCCCUGGAAUGGUCAGGGUGGGGAGGUGGUCUCCACCAUUCCUCCUCUGCCCAGUCCCUGACUCAUACAGCUGACAAAGAUGAAUGAUGAGACAGCCCGUCCUCAUGCUUACAAUCUGAGAGGCAUGUCAUAAAAGGAAAGGGCAUCUGGAGGGAAGAGGGAAAGAGCAACCUCAGACAACUUAGUUCUUGAGACGGCAGUUUAGGAGGUGAUUAAUACAUUAAUUGUAGUAGUAGUAAUCAUAGUUACAGAACAACCAGCUUGGAUGGAAGCAGUUGAAAGAGACAAGCACUGCUUUCCAUCUUUCCCUCUGUUGUGGCUUGAUGGAAGGAAUACUGUGUGUCAGCUGUUAGAGGGAGAAGGUUGAUGGAACUGGUACCCUAGAGGUACCAUUGGAGCAACACUGUUUCCCUCUUCUCCAUCUUUUACAGCCUGGUGGAAUGGCUACACCUGAUGACAGUUCACAGCGAGAGGAGUCUGACUUCUCAGCAAUGCAGAUAAUGACCCCGCUUCUCAACUUUCAACGUUGGGUUCUAGACUGCCAUAGUAGACAUUUGAAAAGAAUUCCACAUCUAGACACUGAUAAGGAGGAAGAGGAUCCCACUAACUGUUAUUCCCUGCAUGCAUCUUCCAUAUACUUUAGUACUACACGUGGCUGGGUUUGCUAUAGACGAUUUAGUCUCAAAAAUGCAGCUCUGCUGUUUAUUUGCUUUGAACCAGAGGUGGUUGUUUUUUUCUUUCUUGUAAAGCCGUAUCCUUAAAAUGAACUCUCUGUGACUUGGGCAGACGAUACUAACAUUUGGAAACCAUGAAAAUGAAUUCUACUCACAUAUGGCUUUAAAUCCUUUCUCAGUUGCCUCUCAAAUAUAGAAAUGCUUAAUGGAAGAGAGAAAAAGAGUGAGUGAGUGAGAGGCAGGAGGCUUGAGAGAAUUUCUGGCAAUAGAAUUCAUGCUGUGCCAGUAAGUUGUUGUUUGAAACACAUAUGAAGAGCCUAAACCCUUAUGAGUGCUGUAGUGGUAUUAAAAAAAUAAAAUAAAGCAUCCCCUGGUCACAGACUCAUCAUCGAAUUGACGCAAUUUGAAAGGAAAAGAAGAAUGGGGAGGGAAGCAAAAGGUACAGUGGCUAGUCCACCCCCUUAGCUAAUGGGAAGGGACAGUCAGAGGGAAGGAGAUGGGAAGGCUGCUGUUCUGCAUUUAUCAAUCAAUUGAUUCAGUUGCGGUGACUCACAUCACAAAUAUUUGGAGCUGGGAACAGCAGGUUAAAACCGGACAAGCCGUCUCAUGCACCAAAAUGCAAUGGAGGCUAAGCAAACCUUUGACCUCCUCUGUAAAAUAUUAAAGCUCUCUUUAGGGCCUGGGUGGAUGACGAGACAAGGAGCCGAGCUGAAGUUCUUGCAUUACGUCUACUGUUCUUCCAACUUCUGGAGAAAAAAUGACUCCACCCACUCAUCUUAUUCUGCUGCUGUAUCACACAUAGGAGACACAACUUUGGUUCUGAAAUUCUGCUACUCUUGUUUAAGCAGCCACAAUCCCUACUGAAACUGUUGGCUUGCAGCUGAGGUUACUGCGGUGGCUGGUGUUUUUCAUUUGUGUACUUUGAGAAAAUCGAUGUAUAAAACAAAAGGCAUCUCUUUAAAGAUUAAUGGGUACUUAAGAGAUGACAGUGAUUGCCUUUAUUUUAUAUAUCAGUAGUGUGUGUGUGUGUGUGUGUGUGUGUUUUCUAAGUGGCUACAGUUAGGAUUUUAAUCCCCAGGAAAAUGGAUAUUAACAAUAAAGGGCUUGAAUUCAGAAAUCCUGAAAAAGUCAGGAAAGGUACCAGUAUUUGCAUCAUCCAAUGGGCGCCUGGGUCAGGGGGGUCAUCUAAGGAUAGAAAAAGUGACUCACACACUGUCCAACAUUUUAGGAUGGGAAAGCAGGACACACACACACACCCCAUUCAAUCUGCACACUCUUUCUCCCCACCCACCCUUCCCAAUCUCCAUGCUCUUUUUGCCACCAUCUACCACCCAAUCCCUGCACCAGCAUCCACUGACCAUCAACGGCAAUCUGAGGAUGCUUGUGUGCUCACACCAGAGCUUCAUGACUAAGGCUGUAAUCCUAACCCUAGCUAUCUCGGAGGAAGCCACCUUGAAUUCAGUAGGACUUACUUCUGAGUGCACAAAGUUUGGAUUGCACUGUAAGUGGGGAUUGGAAUCCGUACAUCCUUGGUUCAAGUCAGAUGCCCUGCCCACUAAAGAACAAAGGCUGCUUAGGCUCCCAAUUUCCCCCACAGCUUGUCAAGCUAUCAAGAACACACCCACUGUAGAUUUAUCUCAGCAUCAGCUGGAUGGCAGAGUUUAGCAGAUAGAGAACUGGAUAUUUAUAGUGAAGAUACACUCCAAAAAUAUCCCAAAUCCAAAAAUAUCAUGGAUUGACACCAGUCUGUCUCAACCAGCCAGCACCAUCCAUCACAUACUGACGUGGUAGAUAUACAGAGCUGUCAGUGUCAAUGAAGAAGAUUAAAAGAACCCCGCCAGGUCAGAUCCUGUUCUCACAGUGGUUGACUAGAUGACUAUGGGAUGCCUGCAAUUAUGACGUCAGCACAGCAGCACUGGCCCGACUUUGUGAUUACUGGCAACUGGUAUUCAGAGGAACCAGGUGAAGACCAUCCUAUGCACCCAGGUGUGUGUAAUCUGGGCCAUUCUGUUUUUAAGACAGUGCUUUAAUUUGGGGGCGGGCGAGUGGCUUUUGUUUUCAUUGUUGCAGACACACUGCUUUAUGGUUUUUAUAUCUUAGGCCCCAUCUGCACUGUACACUUAAAGCAGUAUCCUAUCACUAUAUAAUAUUAACUAAUUAACUAAUUAAUCACUUUACAAUAUUAUUAAUUAAAUUAAUUAAAUUUGUAUACCACCCUUCAUCCGCAGAUCUCGGGGCAGUUCAGUUCACAAUUUAAAAUAUUAACACAAAGUGGUACAAAACCUUCUCAGGCCAACUUCCGGAUCUGCCUUCUGCCUUCGCUCCAAGCAUGCAGGUCUUUCUUAAGUAGCCUCAGAGACAGUGGGGAUGUUACUACCCCAAUUCUGAACAGAGAUCGACGAAAUCCCCAAUAAUAUUGGGAGCCAAGGAGCAUGCGUUGCAGCAGCAGAAUUCUAUGUAUGUCUACAUAAUAGUACAUACUGUUCAAUUCAGUGGGAGUUACUCCAAGGUAAGAAUGUAUAGGAUUGGAACCUCCAUCUCUCUAGUUACUGCAUUCACUCUUUUCUAGUGGCCGCAUGACCCACUUUAAACAGCCAUGGCUGCCCCAAAGAAUCCUGGGAAACUGUCGUUUGUUAUGGGUUCCAAGAGUUGCUAGGAAACCUCUGUUUCCCUCACUGAGCCAUAGUUCUCAGUAGUUUAACCACCAAUCCCUCUUCCUUAGGGAACUCGGGGAUUGUAGCUCUGUGAGGUGAAUAUGGUGCAAAGGAGGCUUUGUAUUCAAGUGGUUUCCUUGUUGUUUCGUUGUCCUUGUAGUUAUUGGCAGAACAGUGCCAUUAAGCAAACAAAGUAAAGGUACCCCUGACCGUUAGGUCCAGUUGCAGACGACUCUGGGGUUGCGCGCUCAUCUCGCUCUAUAGACUGAGGGAGCCGACGUUUGUCCACAGACAGCUUCCGGGUCAUGUGGCCAGCAUGACUAAGUCACUUCUGGCGAACCAGAGCAGCACACGGAAACGCCGUUUACCUUCCUGCCCGAGUGGUACCUAUUUAUCUACUUGCACUUUGACGUGCUUUCGAACUGCUAGGUGGGCAGGAGCUGGGACCAAACAACGGGACUCACCCCGUUGCAGGGAUUCGAACCACCGACCUUCUGAUCGGCGAGCCCUAGGCUCUGUGGUUUAGACCACAGCGCCACCCACGUCCCUUGUUGUUUCAUUGUCCUUGUAGUUAUUGGCAGAACAGUGCCAUUAAACAAACAAACGAAGCCUUAAAACUGCUUCUGCAUAAGUCAUCCUGCAGCAAUCCCCCAGAAUGCCACAUCAGUGCAUCAUUGCUUGUCAGAGAGUAACUUCCACAUCCCCGUAGUCUUUGGACUGCUAAAGUCUGGCAAUCUUCUCUGCUGAAUGCACCUGGUAGUGCAGGGACUGUCAUGACUAAUUGUUCUGCUCAGUGGCUGCUUGCACAGCAUCAGACACUGCCCUUUUGAGACCCAGCAGUGAAUGUAGUCAUAGGUUACCCUGUCUUUUCAGAUCUGCACCAGACUUGAGAAAUCUUCUGUGAGAGGUUCUCUCUUCCCAGAUUUUUGCAUGGAGGCAGGCAACGAAGGCAAGCUGAAACAAGUGGACUGUUUCAGACAUUAGUAGACCUCAGUGUGUGCACAGAUACAUUUUCUGAAUGAUUGUCACCUCUCCCAAUCAUACUUUAAAAAAAAAAUGACUCCAAGAGCAGAGGGCUUUCUUUGCUGCUUGUAAAAAUUAAAUGUGUUUUGUUUUGGAAAAGAUAUAAAUGGCCAGAGAACACAUAACUGUGUGUUAUGAAAUUUGCUUUUGUACGUGACAUCAGUGGCGAGAAUCCUGGUGGAUAAAUACUGGAAGGGUAACCAGGUACCGACCGAAGAGGAAUGGCUAUGUAAAUUCUGUGAAUAUUUGGAACUGGCCAAAUUGAUGGAUAUAAUAAAACUAAAGCCAAUGAAUACAGUCAAGAAGGAAUGAAAGUGCACAAAUGAUUAUUUAGAAAGACAAGGUUCUAAUGUAAAAUUUGGCUGUGUCUAGAAUGACCUUGUGAAUGAAAAAGGGGAAAUAUAUAUAUACAUAUCUAUAUAUUAAGAUGAAAAUAAUACUGAAAUACAGAUAAAAUAUGAAAUGUGAAAGGAAGUGUUGUGAGAGUGAUGGAAGUCUAUUAUUACUAUUAUUUUG
rnacentral:lncRNA from 1 species